UACGUAGGGUGCGAGCAUUAAUCGGAUUUACUGGGCGUAAAGGACGCGUAGGCGGUAGUACAAGUUUGUUGUGAAAUUUAGGGGCUUACCCUCUGAGCUGCAAUGGGUACUGUAUUACUAGAGUGCGUAACGGGAAAGCGGAAUUUCAUGAGUAGCGGUGAAAUGCGUAGAUACAUGGAAGAAGACCGGUGGCGAAAGCGGCUUUCUGGAGCGUAACUGACGCUGAGGCGUGAGAGCAAGGGUAGCGAACAGG
rnacentral:misc_RNA from 1 species